GGUUUAAUUCGAUGAUACGCGAGGAACCUUACCCGGGCUUGAAUUGCAGAGGAAGGAUUUGGAGACAAUGACGCCCCUCGGGGCCUCUGUGAAGGUGCUGCAUGGUUGUCGUCAGCUCGUGCCGUGAGGUGUCGGCUUAAGUGCCAUAACGAGCGCAACCCCUCUCCUUAGUUGCCAUCAGGUGAAGCUGGGCACUCUGGGGACACUGCCACCGUAAGGUGUGA
rnacentral:rRNA from 1 species